CAGUCGCCACGGUAAUACGGAGGGUGCAAGCGUUAAUUGGAAUUACUGGGCGUAAAGCGCACGCAGGCGGUCUGUCAAGUCAGAUGUGAAAUCCCCGGGCUUAACCUGGGAACUGCAUUUGAAACUGGCAGGCUAGAGUCUUGUAGAGGGGGGUAGAAUUCCAGGUGUAGCGGUGAAAUGCGUAGAGAUCUGGAGGAAUACCGGUGGCGGAGGCGGCCCCCUGGACAAAGACUGACGCUCAGGUGCGGAAGCGUGGGGAGCAAACAGGAUUAGAUACCCCUGUAGUCCCUGUCUCUUAUAC
rnacentral:rRNA from 1 species